rnacentral:rRNA from 1 species
CCUACGGGAGGCAGCAGUGAGGAAUAUUGGUCAAUGGGCGCGAGCCUGAACCAGCCAAGUAGCGUGAAGGAUGACUGCCCUACGGGUUGUAAACUUCUUUUAUAAAGGAAUAAAGUGAGGCACGCGUGCCUUUUUGUAUGUACCUUAUGAAUAAGGAUCGGCUAACUCCGUGCCAGCAGCCGCGGUAAUACGGAGGAUCCGAGCGUUAUCCGGAUUUAUUGGGUUUAAAGGGAGCGUAGAUGGGUUGUUAAGUCAGUUGUGAAAGUUUGCGGCUCAACCGUAAAAUUGCCGUUGAUACUGGCAGUCUUGAGUGCGGUUGAGGUAGGCGGAAUGCGUGGUGUAGCGGUGAAAUGCAUAGAUAUCACGAAGAACUCCGAUUGCGAAGGCAGCUUACUAGACUGCCACUGACGUUGAUGCUCGAAAGUGUGGGUAUCGAACAGGAUUAGAUACCCCAGUAGUC